rnacentral:tRNA from 1 species
AAAGGGAGACCUAAUUCGGGUAUAAGACGAAAAAAUAGUAGUCGAAACCAAGAAUCAAUCCCAAAAGGUCGGAACGAGGUAUGUGGCUUUCAAACUAGGUUCUGGGUUCAUAAAAGACCUGAAUCAGGAACAAGGGCUAUUAGCUCAGGUGGUUAGAGCGCACCCCUGAUAAGGGUGAGGUCCCUGGUUCGAGUCCAGGAUGGCCCACCUGCACAGGUGGCAAAAACAAAGAAAAGAAGAGAGGAAUCAGCACCUUAUCUUACUUAUAUAGUAAGAGAGAAUGCUGGCUCUGAGUACAGAGUCCAGAGGAACCUUGAAAACUGCAUAGAGCUAGGUGAAAAAGCCAAAAAAGAAGACCGCAAG